rnacentral:other from 1 species
GCAAUCCUGGAAUGUGCGAGGCCCCUUCAUAUUUUGAACCUACACAGACAAUAAGGGAAUCCAACAUCGCAGAUUGGAUGUCAGACCUCUCGUCGUGGUAGGCAGAAGAUCUGUUGAGGACACCCACCUAGCAUAAUGCUAGGCGUCAAAAGGAAGGGAACGGCAUUCCGGGACUGUC